rnacentral:rRNA from 1 species
AUUGAACGCUGGCGGCAUGCCUUACACAUGCAAGUCGAACGGUAACGGGCCUUCGGGUGCCGACGAGUGGCGAACGGGUGAGUAAUGUAUCGGAACGUACCUUUCAGUGGGGGAUAACGUAGCGAAAGUUACGCUAAUACCGCAUAUUCUGUGAGCAGGAAAGCAGGGGAUCGCAAGACCUUGCGCUGAUUGAGCGGCCGAUAUCAGAUUAGCUAGUUGGUGAGGUAAAGGCUCACCAAGGCGACGAUCUGUAGCGGGUCUGAGAGGAUGAUCCGCCACACUGGAACUGAGACACGGUCCAGACUCCUACGGGAGGCAGCAGUGGGGAAUUUUGGACAAUGGGGGGCAACCCUGAUCCAGCCAUGCCGCGUGAGUGAAGAAGGCCUCGGGUUGUAAAGUCGUACUUUCGGUCCGGGUAACGGAAAGUACGU